rnacentral:rRNA from 1 species
GAUGAACGCUGGCGGCGUGCCUAACACAUGCAAGUCGAGCGAUUCUCUUCGGAGAAGAGCGGCGGACGGGUGAGUAACGCGUGGGUAACCUGCCCUGUACACACGGAUAACAUACCGAAAGGUAUGCUAAUACGAGAUAAUAUGCUUUUAUCGCAUGGUAGAAGUAUCAAAGCUCCGGCGGUACAGGAUGGACCCGCGUCUGAUUAGCUAGUUGGUAAGGUAACGGCUUACCAAGGCGACGAUCAGUAGCCGACCUGAGAGGGUGAUCGGCCACAUUGGAACUGAGACACGGUCCAAACUCCUACGGGAGGCAGCAGUGGGGAAUAUUGCACAAUGGGCGAAAGACCUGAUGCAGCAACGCCGCGUGAGCGAUGAAGGCCUCGGUC